GUGGAUGACAGCUGUAGAGCUCCACUUGUUGAGAAGAUGCAUAAGCAAAAUACAAUGCGGUUUGUUCUUGAAUUAAACAAUUUGGUGCUUGGACCCAAUCCUGAAACCUGUCACUGCUUUAGGUGUUUUGUGUCUCAAAAGAUCAUGGACUGCUCAUUCUCUGUGUGGCUCAUGAAAGUAACAAGAUGGGAGAACUGAAGGAACGGAGUUGUGAAGCCAUGUAUCUGCUCAAAGACAUAAAGAAGACCAGUGACAAAUCCAGAAACAGAAACCAAGUCUCCUGAGUUGAAGCCUAAUGCCACUAAAUAUUGUGAUCAACAAGACAGUUUGCCUUCUGAUGUUAGUGAAGUAUGCCAAACAAUACCUAUACAUUAAUAACUGACCCAAGGGGAGCACAUUUGAAUCUGUAUGUUUUCCUAUGGUCUUCUAAAUAAUUCAAAGGAACUGUUUGAAUUCUAAUUCUGAAUUGAAUUUCUAAUACUGUUUUCUUUAUAAGUGAGCAUUUUUUUCCACAAAUAUUUCUUUGCAA
rnacentral:lncRNA from 14 species